rnacentral:tRNA from 3 species
GCUGCUGUAGCUCAGGCGGUAGAGCGCAUCCUUGGUAAGGAUGAGGUCGGCAGUUCGAAUCUGCCCAGCAGCUCCA